GACGGAGGAUGCAAGUGUUAUCCGGAAUCACUGGGCGUAAAGCGUCUGUAGGUGGUUUAAAAAGUCCACUGUUAAAGAUUGAAGCUUAACUUCAAAAAUGCCGUGGAAACUUUUAAACUUGAGUAUGAUAGGGGUAGAGGGAAUUUCCAGUGGAGCGGUGAAAUGCGUAGAUAUUGGAAAGACCACCAAUGGCGAAGGCACUCUACUGGGCCACUACUGACACUGAGAGACGAAAGCUAGGGGAGCAAAUGGG
rnacentral:rRNA from 1 species